AUAAUAAUAAUAAUAAUAAUAAUGAACUUUAUUUCCACAAAUAGAAGUACAAAGAUAUAUAGUAGUCAGGUUGUAGCUUGAUUGUGAAAAAAGGCGGAGUCCAGUCAUGCACGCAUGCAUAUCCUGCUCAAACUCAACCAAAAAAAAAAAAAAAUCAUAAUUACAUAUUUACUUAAAGGCGUUCUGUGUUCACUAUUUUAAAAAGGAAAAAAACACACAAGACUUAGGAAACAGCAAAAAGAAAAAUCAUUAUUUAUUCUGUUCUUUGAGGUAGUAUCGGAAAGCGCUCACCUUGAAAUUUUUUAUAUUAUUAUCUGAAGUUUACAUAUUAUCAAAGACCGGCACCUGCUUGAUUGACAGUGUUAAACUCAAACUAUUGAUAAUUUCUAUAGUUUCUAGGAAAUUUUUAGAUGUUAUAUAAUUUUGAGAAGGGCAAAACUGAGCGAAUUCAUUUGUUAUGAAAAUUUGUAUGGUUUACAUUCAAAGAAACAAAACUCAAGGGAUUCUGAGAUCCCUUCACUAGACAACCAAUUUGGACACCCGAUACAUAUUUAAAAGAUUAAUCAAAACAUCCUGUUCUAUCAAACAUACACAGCAAAGUGCUGCAUAAAUCAGAUAGUAAUAAAAGAGCCACAAUUAAUACACACACAAGAUAUGUUCAAACAGCUUUUGAAUGUUCCAACGAAAUCUUGGAACGAUUAAUUCUUUCCGAAAAUAAAAAUGCGUCCUGGAGCCAGAGUCGUUUGUUUGGAAAUAAUUCAGCAAAGAUGAUAAUCAAGUGGCUGUGUGUAUAUUUUGUAGAAAAAAUUCAAAUAUUUUGGUGGAACCACUUUACUAAUCUCAGACAACAUCUCUUGAGAAUUCAUCCCAUCCAUAUAAAAGAGGAUGACAGAAGCAUCGAAUGCCGGCAAUUUAUUAGAAUCUAUUUUUUUGGAAAAUGUAGAUAGAAAUGCAAUUGAAACUUUUUGGAGUUAUUCAAUGCCGAAAAAUCCAAAUAUUCAGCACCUCAGUUUUCAGUAAGGUAAGGUGCUGCGAAUAUUCCCC